UGGGGAAUCUUGCGCAAUGGGCGAAAGCCUGACGCAGCAACGCCGCGUGGGUGAUGAAGGCCUUCGGGUCGUAAAGCCCUGUCAGGGGGGAAGAGCAAGGACGGUACCCCUGAAGGAAGCACCGGCUAACUCCGUGCCAGCAGCCGCGGUAAUACGGAGGGUGCAAACGUUGUUCGGAAUCAUUGGGCGUAAAGCGCACGUAGGCGGUUGUGAGGGUCGGAUGUGAAAACCCCGGGCUCAACCUGGGAGGUGCAUUCGAAACCGCGCGACUGGAGUCUCGGAGGGAGAGGUGGAAUUCCUGGUGUAGGGGUGAAAUCCGUAGAGAUCAGGAGGAACACCGGUGGCGAAGGCGACCUCUUGGCCGCAGACUGACGCUGAGGUGCGAAAGCGUGGGUAGCAA
rnacentral:rRNA from 1 species